AACGCACCUUGCGCCCCUUGGCAUUCCGAGGGGCACACCCGUUUGAGUGUCGUGAAAUCUUCAAAAACCCUUUUUUCUUUGAACCAUUGUGGUCGGAAAAAGGAUUUUUGGACUUGGAGGCUUUAAUGCUUGCCCUUUCUUUUCUUUGAAAGCGAGCUCCUCUCAAAUGAAUUAGUGGGGUCCGCUUUGCUGAUCCUUGACGUGAUAAAAUGUUUCUACGUUUUGGGUUUAGCACUGUCCCUUGGAUGCCUGCUGCUAACUGUCUCAUUGACAAUGAUGGUGCUCCGGUCACUGCCGUCUACGUCGGCGGGAGGCUGGACCCACAAAAAGAAAACCUUGACCUCAAAUCGGGUGAGACUACCCGCUGAACUUAA
rnacentral:misc_RNA from 1 species